UACGGGAGGCAGCAGUGGGGAAUAUUGGACAAUGGGCGAAAGCCUGAUCCAGCCAUGCCGCGUGUGUGAAGAAGGUCUUCGGAUUGUAAAGCACUUUAAGUUGGGAGGAAGGGCAGUUACCUAAUACGUGAUUGUUUGACGUACCGACAGAUAGAACGAUUUAC
rnacentral:rRNA from 1 species